GAACAUUUGUCAAUGAAGAGAAUCACGAAGUGUAUGGAUAGAAAAAUAGCUGCCAGUGACUUGAGCUAUGCAGUUCUAAAGCUAGCAUUUAGUAGAGGAAGAGGGCACACAACAAGUUUUGUCAAAAGAGUGUGGAAGUGGACCAAGAGUAACAAAGUCAUCAAAGAUCAGUACAUUCGCUUGCUGAACAUUUUGGAUAUACUUUUAAAAGUGAUAGUUAAAGCUCAUUAUAUCAGAAGUGAUAGUUAAAUUCAUUAUAUCAGAAGUGUAUAUACUGCCUUUGAUUUUCAUAAUUCCUGAACUAGUUAUUAGUUCCAGUACAUGUAUGUACUGUAUGAUGUAACACAACACAACACCCCCCCCCCUCCAAAAAAAAAAGUAAUCCUGAUGAAGAAAAUUAGAUAAAUUCUACUGAUACAUGUAGUAUAUUUUGAAUCACUCAUUGCUAUGAGGUGUUCAAUUUAUGUCUAUAUUCUAGCUACCUGAAUAGAAUGAUUUUGUCAUUCAGGGAAUUUUCAUAAAACAAAUGUUUUUCAACUGAUCAGAUGAAGUAAUGUGCAACUUCUUAUAUCAAUAGACAAGACAGUAUUGUACUGCAACCAUAUAUUGAUGUGUGUUCAUUUACAAUAUAACCUAACAGUUUAUUAGAAUAUAUCAUACAUGUAAUUGUAUGUAUAUUAACUAUCAAUAUAUGCUCUGACCUAGAAUGCAUAUAUACUGGUUAAAACUUAUUGAUCAGACAUCAAUCCAUUUUGAAGUUGCAGUUUUUUCAUUCCACGUCAUUGCUUGCAUUCAUUGAGAAAACACUGUCAAUCAAAAUCUUUGCAUCUAGCUGCUUUUUUUCAAAGAAAAAUAUCAAAUGAAUUUUUAAUUUCAUAAUUAUUACAUUAUUUUAAAAACUUUGAUGAAUUAGAACAUAUAAUUAGCAAGAAAUACCUAAUCUCAUUCCAUGUUAUUCACACCAAGAUCAAGGUCACACCCAGAAGAUGGUUUAUACGCCCUAUUUUUAUGAUUAUUUUAAAAGUUUAUUUUGUUGUAUGUCUACUAUAUAUUCUUGAAAUACUUUUCUUUACAUAAUUACAAUUGUUAUUGAAAAUAAAUACACCAAUUUUAAAAUUUUGGUUAAU
rnacentral:sRNA from 1 species